GACAGAGGGCUCAAACGUUGUUCGGAAUCACUGGGCAUAAAGGGCGCGUAGGCGGCUCGUUAAGUCGGUUGUGAAAUCCCCCGGCUCAACCGGGGAACGGCAUCCGAUACUGGCGGGCUCGAGGACGGGAGGGGUAAGUGGAACUCCAGGUGGAACGGUGAAAUGCGUAGAUAUCUGGAGGAAUACCGGUGGCGAAGGCGGCAUCCUGGACCGGCAUUGACGCUGAGGAGCGAAAGCCAGGGGAGCAAACGGG
rnacentral:rRNA from 1 species